GACAUAGGUUGCGAACGUUAUCCGGAAUUAUUGGGCGUAAAGAGCUCGUAGGCGGUUUGUCGCGUCUGCUGUGAAAACCCGAGGCUCAACCUCGGGCCUGCAGUGGGUACGGGCAGACUAGAGUGUGGUAGGGGAGACUGGAAUUCCUGGUGUAGCGGUGAAAUGCGCAGAUAUCAGGAGGAACACCGAUGGCGAAGGCAGGUCUCUGGGCCAACUACUGA
rnacentral:rRNA from 1 species